rnacentral:misc_RNA from 1 species
CCUCAUUGAAGAAAACUGAAAUUUAAAUAAUUUAGGAGUCAUUUUCAUCGGGGAAAAAAAAAAUUCAGCAGAUUCCUUGACCUAACCCAAUGGAUUUUUGCAGCCGAAAAGUCGGACAACAGUUCCAACAACAGAGACGUGCAUUGGAGAAGGGCUGGGGAGGGUCAGAUGCUGGAGAAAUAUGGAAAACUUGCAGGUUUAGAUUCGGGUGAAGAUCUAACCCCAUCAGAUCUUUUUCAGGAAGUUGUAGGUGAUUGGAAAGGCGCAAAAAGGGUCACUUGGAUGUUGCCAUUGGAUUGACGGUGGCGGUGCUUGGGUUUGAGAGCCGAAUGGUGGUGUGUGAUGAGGGGUAUAAAGAGUAGAGGGAAAUUUUGGGAACACAGUGGAAGGAUUGAAAAUUUGCGAAAGCCUAUUGAAAUUUGGAUUGAAUUUAGGUUUGAUACCAAAUUGAUGUAGAACGAAAAAGAACACUUGAAUGGGAAGAUAAACAAUUCUCAAUUUUCUAUUAAUUCUCAAAAAUUGAAUUCUCAAAUUGUCAAUGAUAAAAGCCUACCAAACUACUGAGAGGACAUAUGUGUUUAUAGUAGACUUGUUAAUCCUACUAGUACACGGAUUGGAAAUCCUAAAACAAGAAAAAUACUAAUCAAAUUCUUAUUAGGAAUCCCUAGUCAACUUAACUUUGUAAAUAAAAUAAAAUACUACUUCCCGAAUAAUAAUAGAAUUCCUAAUUAAUAGAAACCUAAAAUUCCUAUUUUGUGAUGAAAAAUUAAAUCACAAUAAUAAUAAUAGUAAUAAUAAU